rnacentral:rRNA from 1 species
CCUACGGGUGGCUGCAGUGAGGAAUAUUGGUCAAUGGGCGUAAGCCUGAACCAGCCAAGUAGCGUGAAGGAUGAAGGUUCUAUGGAUCGUAAACCUCUUUUAUAAGGGAAUAAAGUGCGGGACGUGUCCCGUUUUGUAUGUACCUUAUGAAUAAGGAUCGGCUAACUCCGUGCCAGCAGCCGCAGUAAUACGGAGGAUCCGAGCGUUAUCCGGAUUUAUUGGGUUUAAAGGGUGCGUAGGUGGGCUUUUAAGUCAGUUGUGAAAGUUUGUGGCUCAACCAUAAAAUUGCCGUUGAAACUGGGAGUCUUGAGUACGGUUGAGGCAGGCGGAAUGCGUGGUGUAGCGGUGAAAUGCUUAGAUAUCACGAAGAACCCCGAUUGCGAAGGCAGCCUGCCAAGCUACGACUGACGUUGAUGCACGAAAGUGUGGGGAUCAAACAGGAUUAGAUACCCGUGUAGUC